ACUGAACCGAACCGAAUUAAUUUAAUUCGGUUCGGUUAUAUAAUUUAAUUCAGUUCGGUUCCAUUUGAUUUUAUCCUAUAUAUUCAUUAUUUAAUAAAAAAAUAAUAUAAUAAUACACUAUUAAUACAACAAUAAUCUUGAGUCUAUAAAUUAGCAAACAAUAAUCAAUAUAAUAAAAUUUAACAAUAGUAAAUUAACAUAAUAAAUUCCCAAAACAAUCUAGAAAUCCAUAAAUAAUAACCAAUAUAAUUAAAUCUAACAAUAAUAAAUUAAAAUAACAAAAUUCAACAAUAAAAUAAAGUGUAUGCUAUGAUAUAUAAAGUAUCAUGUAUUAAUUAACAAACAAAAAUAAAAAAGAUAAAUUAUGAACUAUUUUUUAAUUUUAAUUUUAAUUUUUUCUUGAACCAUUUGAUUCAGUAAUUUGGUUCUGAACCAUUUGGUUUUUUACUCCGAACCAAACCGAACCAAAUUGUCAUAAUACGGUUCGGUUGUACACAUCAAGCUCCCCAUAUGAAUUCUAACAAAUACAGUAAAAUUCUACCGAAACAACUCAAUAAAUGCUGUAAGAUCUUUAACAAAACUAGAUAAUUAGAAGUGUAUUUUGAGGUGUUUUAAAAGAAAUCAGUUUCGAAUAAAAAGCAUCUUCAACAAAAAUACUGAAAAAUUUAAUGGAUUCAGUCAAUCGGAUUAAUAAUUAAAAAAACCGUACAUUCAAAUCAAAUCAUAAUCAAUUAUGGGUUAUGAACGAAGAAGAAAAUAAAAGGAAUUAAGUGAUUAUAAGGUAUGCAAAUGUGCGUACCUUUUUGCCCUCGUCGAUGAGGAUAGGGUUAUGACAGAGGCUAAAAUAGAGCUCCUUCUUAGAGGAGGAACGCAGCGAAGAAGAAGAAGAAGAAGAAGAAGACGAAAGAAGAGUAGAGUAAUCGGGCGGCAAAAAGCUCUCCCAAACGGCGUCGGAUUCGGCCGCCGACUUGAAGAUAGUUGAAACUGAAGACAAUCUGCAUGCGUCGCGAGGAGUAGUAAAGGAAAUAGCGUUGGCAAUGCAACCUUCGGGUAAAAGCUCCAUUUCUGCUUCCGUGGAAAUUAGAAAAAGGUAAAUGGAGAGACAGACGCUCAGAUGAAUCUCAUCGUUUCGAUUCUUGUGGUUUUUGAUUUGGCCAUUUUAUAGAGCGGUGGAGAGUGAGAGAUUCAAGGAAAUCUUAGCGGUUAAGUUUUGGUUAAUGAUCCAGAGUAUUGCCACUGGCCAGCCAUAUGCCUUAUGGAACCGAACCGAAUUCCCUUUUCUUCUUUUGCCUUUUACUUUAACAAGUGCUUUCUCUAAAAGCACUUUUUUUAUUCCCCCGCGGGCCCAAGACAACUGAUUUCAUUUAAUUAAAAGACAUGCUUUUGGUGGUGUCACAAGCACUUGCAACAAAGAACAUGCAGCACCAAAACAGACAUCAAGCUCCCCGAAUGAAUUCUAACAAAUACAGUAAAAUUCUACCGAAACAAGUCAACAAAUGCUGGAAGAUCUUUACCAAAACUAGAUAAUUAGAAGUGUAUUUUGAGGUGUUUUAAAAGAAAUCAGUUUCAAAUAAAAAGCAUCUUCAACAAAAAAAACUGAAAAAUUUAAGAUCCGUUUGGGGCAGCUGCGCGGUGGCAGCGCAGCUGCCCCAAACAGGUAAUGGAUUCAGUCAUUCGGAUUAAUGAUUAAAAAAACCGUACAUUAAAACCAAAUCAUAAUCAAUUAUGGGUUAUGAACGAAGAAGAAAAUAAAAGGAAUUAAGUGAUUAUAAGGUAUGCAAAUGUGCCUACCUUUUUGCCCUCGUCGAUGAGGAUAGGGUUAUGACAGAGGCUAAAAUAGAGCUCCUUCUUAGAGGAGGAACGCAGCGAAGAAGAAGAAGAAGAAGACGAAAGAAGAGUAGAGUAAUCGGGCGGCAAAAAGCUCUCCCAAACGGCGUCGGAUUCGGCCGCCGACUUGAAGAUAGUUGAAACUGAAGACAAUCUGCAUGCGUCACGAGGAGUAGUAAAGGAAAUAGCGUUGGCUAUGCAACCUUCGGGUAAAAGCUCCAUUUCUGCUUCCGUGGAAAUUAGAAAAAGGGAGAUGGAGAGACAGAUGCGCAGACGUAUCUCGUCGUUUUGAUUCUUAUGGUUUUUGAUUUGGGCAUUUUAUAAAGCGGCGGAGAGUGGAGAUUCAAGGAAAUCUUAGGUUAAGUUUUUCAUGUGUGUGUGUGCUGGUGCAUAGC
rnacentral:lncRNA from 1 species